GGGGCGGUUACCAGUUUUCAAAAAUGUCUUCCAUUUCUGGAACUCAGAGAGAACAGAGAUUCACACUGCAGGCUACACAGGUAUUAAUCCAUCUUGGAGAUGACUCAGCCAAUAGAGUGCCACAUGCAUGCAGACCUGAGUCCAGAGCCCCAAUACCCAUGCAAACAACGAGGCCUGGCAGUGCAAGUGGUAACCCCAGAGAUGCAGAUUACAGGCACAAGCUUCCUGUGCAAAACCAGCAAGACCAGCAAAACCUUGAAGCCUGUUGGCCAGUCAGCCUGACUGAACCUAUGAACUUCAGGUCCGGUGAGAGACCCUGCCUCAAAAAAUAAACAUGGAGAAUGAUCAAG
rnacentral:lncRNA from 1 species